UGGUGGAGUGAUUUGUCUGGUUAAUUCCGUUAACGAACGAGACCUCGACCUGCUAACUAGCUUGCGAUAUGGUCACAUGGGUAAGCUUCUUAGAGGGACUUUGGCAUUGAAGGCUACAGGAAGUUCGAGGCAAUAACA
rnacentral:rRNA from 1 species